AAAUAGAUACCCCGGGUAGUCCACGCCGUAAACGAUGAGUGCUAAGUGUUGGGGGGGUUUCCGCCCCUCAGUGCUGCAGCUAACGCAUUAAGCACUCCGCCUGGGGAGUACGGCCGCAAGGCUGAAACUCAAAGGAAUUGACGGGGGCCCGCACAAGCGGUGGAGCAUGUGGUUUAAUUCGAAGCAACGCGAAGAACCUUACCAGGUCUUGACAUCCCGCUGCCCGGUAUAGAGAUAUAUCUUUCCCUUCGGGGACAGCGGUGACAGGUGGUGCAUGGUUGUCGUCAGCUCGUGUCGUGAGAUGUUGGGUUAAGUCCCGCAACGAGCGCAACCCUUGAUCUUAGUUGCCAGCAUUUAGUUGGGCACUCUAAGGUGACUGCCGGUGACAAACCGGAGGAAGGUGGGGAUGACGUCAAAUCAUCAUGCCCCUUAUGACCUGGGCUACACACGUGCUACAAUGGAUGGUACAAAGGGCUGCAAGACCGCGAGGUUUAGCCAAUCCCAUAAAACCCNUUACUCAGUUCGGAUUGCAGGCUGA
rnacentral:rRNA from 1 species